rnacentral:ncRNA from 20 species
CUAAGGCUUUAUUAAGUCGGAUUUUAAUGGGAGAGGGAAGGAUAAUCGGGAAGCCUGUGGAAAUCUGGCACUGCCCCCGCAACGGUGAAUGGUAAGAGUUAGGCGCGCUUAUUUUAUCAACAAGAUAAUGGGUGUUAAAAAAGUCUAAACUUGUGCUGUUUUUCUUUAGGAAAUGCAGCAAUACCUAAGUCCGGAGACCGGCCCAUUUGAUGAUUUUGAGA